UGGUUCUCAGAAUCACCUGGAAGCUGGUUAAAACCCAGUUUGCUGGACCCUCCCUCAGAAUUUCUAACUCAGCAGCUCUGAAGUGGGCCAAGAAUUUGCACCAAGUCUCCAAAGGAUGCUGGUGCCUUUGAUCCAGGGACCACACUGCUCAAGAGGCGCUCACCACAUGAAGAGUCAACUCAUUUCCAUGGAGCCUGUGUUCCCUGCAAGCCCAUACUCUCCCCGAGGGCAGGAACUUCAGCUCUGCUUUUUUCCACAAUGGGACAAUGCUGGAGACUUCCUAAGUAUUUGUUGAAUGAAUUAAUGAAUCCUGUUAAUUAUUUUGACUUUUUGAUCUUUGAGGACUUUCUAAUUUCCCCUGAUUGCAGGGGAAAUGCUCUAGGAAAGAAGAUCCAAAGGAAAGGAGAAAAGAAAACAAGAGAAGAAAAGAAGGGGGAAAAGGAAGGAGCUCUUUUCACAAAGCAAGACUUUUUAGUAUUGCCUAGGGGUGUCCUUGUGCCUCUGCUUCAGCGUUCAAAGCUGUCCUUUGUGAUAACACUGGGCCAGCAGGAGAAUCCAAGAUCAUCUCCUCAUCUCAAGAUCUUUAACUUGGUCACUUCUGCAGAGUUCCUUUGCCAUGUAAGGUGACAUUGUUUCUGGGGAUUAAGUUGUGCACAUCAGGGGCUAUUAUUCUGGCAAGCACAGUCAUCAUUCUAGGUUUCUAUGGAACCAACUCAUUAUUCUGGAAAUUGGUAAAUAAAAGACAGGAUGAAGUAUUUAUCCUGCCUUUUUCUCUACAAACUCUACUUCGGGGUUGUCAAAUAGUUAAUGAAAGAAAGUUUCUUUUUAAAUAAAUAACCUAACUAAUAAGUUAUGAGAGGAGGAAAGAUCAGAAUAUCACCACUAUGCAACCCUAAUGAAGUAAUGUAUCUAACAAUGGUCAUCAAUAACUGCUAAAACCGUUUGAUGGAAAGCUCUUGGUAAACUUUAUAUUAAUUGGCUCACCUGGAUACACUGGCCAAUGUUAACAUCACAAAAGGAGAGACAACCAGGUAUCA
rnacentral:lncRNA from 1 species